GAAAGCUCUGCGGAAGGAAAGGACAAACAAAAGACGAGGACGGAAAGGGAUGUCGCUCGCAGAGACCGUUUGACGGGGUGGGCAGGCGGCCAUUUUGCCGGCCUGCCUGCGUGGCUCCCACCGACCUUCCCGCACUGCUUGCACUUGCCGUCCUGGCGCCGGCGGUGCACCCAGUGGUGCCUCAGCACGUUCUGCCGGCAGAGAGCAGACGACAGCGCCGCCUUACACCUGGCCCCGCUCGGACUUCUUGUCGGGAGACUUACAUCUCGCAGGCACCGCGAGCCUCCUUCCCUGAAGGUCGGCUUGCACCUGAAGUUGAUCUUGAUCACGAGACGGCCAAGGCGUCACGUCAGGGCUUUGGACUUGCUGUGUGCGUGCGUGCAUGCGUGUGCACUACCUUCUCCAGCUGCUCGGUGCAGCUGGUGUGGACGACGAUCUUGCAGGCGGCGCACUUCCUCCUGGGCGCAGACUUCUUCAAGCACAAACACACAGGUCGGCUGUAUGGGACGGGCAACCAGCAGACGACUUGGGGCGAGCUCACCGCAGCCUUGAGCAGGCAGGCGUCCUCCCCGAGGUAGCAGAGUUCGCCCGAGCAGCUGGUCUCCAUCCACAGGUGGUCGUCGUUGACGGCGUUCUCCUGCCGGGUGGAAGGGCGGUGGGCGGGCUUGGGCAGACAGGGCAGGGCGUUGCUCUGACCUUUGGAUGCCACGGCGACAAUUGCGUUGGAAAGGCGUUUGCUCGCUCGCUCACACGGUGAGACCAGACGACGCGAAGGAGACCGACAAUUUCACAGGGGAAAGAUGGCU